rnacentral:rRNA from 1 species
GACGAACGCUGGCGGCGUGCUUAACACAUGCAAGUCGAACGGAAAGGCCCUGCUUUUGUGGGGUGCUCGAGUGGCGAACGGGUGAGUAACACGUGAGUAACCUGCCCUUGACUUUGGGAUAACUUCAGGAAACUGGGGCUAAUACCGGAUAGGAGCUCCUGCUGCAUGGUGGGGGUUGGAAAGUUUCGGCGGUUGGGGAUGGACUCGCGGCUUAUCAGCUUGUUGGUGGGGUAGUUGCUUACCAAGGCUUUGACGGGUAGCCGGCCUGAGAGGGUGACCGGCCACAUUGGGACUGAGGUACGGCCCAGACGCCUACGGGAGGCAGCAGUGGGGAAUAUUGCACAAUGGGCGGAAGCCUGAUGCAGCAACGCCGCGUGCGGGAUGACGGCCUUCGGGUUGUAAACCGCUUUCGCCUGUGACGAAGCGUGAGUGACGGUAAUGGGUAAAGAAGCACCGGCUAACUACGUG